AUACGUAGGGUGCGAGCGUUGUCCGGAAUUACUGGGCGUAAAGAGCUCGUAGGUGGUUUGUCGCGUCGUCUGUGAAAUUCCGGGGCUUAACUCCGGGCGUGCAGGCGAUACGGGCAUAACUUGAGUACUGUAGGGGAGACUGGAAUUCCUGGUGUAGCGGUGAAAUGCGCAGAUAUCAGGAGGAACACCGGUGGCGAAGGCGGGUCUCUGGGCAGUAACUGACGCUGAGGGGCGAAAGCAUGGGUAGCGAACAGAAUUAGAUACCCUGGUAGUCCAUGCCGUAAACGGUGGGCGCUAGGUGUAGGGGUCUUCCACGACUUCUGUGCCGUAGCUAACCCAUUAAGCGCCCCGCCUGGGGAGUACGGCCGCAAGGCUAAAACUCAAAGGAAUUGACGGGG
rnacentral:rRNA from 1 species